UCAAUAAUCUAUGCGAUUUCUAACUUUGUAGAAUGAAACGGAGUGGUGGGGAUACUGUGCCACUUGGGGGAAAUAUAAGGCCGCCGCCUUUGACAGUGGGUCCAGUCAUGCCACGAAUUUCCACCACUCAAAUCUCAAUCCUCGCGAAUGAAACGGAGUGGUGGGGAUACUGUGCCACUUGGGGGAAAUAUAAGGCCGCCGCCUUUGACAGUGGGUCCAGUCAUGCCACGAAUUUCCACCACUCAAAUCUCAAUCCUCGCGGUACGCACGCCCCGCGAGUAAUAGAGAAGAGUAAAAAUAAGCACAACAAUCGAUCACUCAUUCAUUCAAUAAUCUAUGCGAUUUCUAACUUUGUAGAAUGAAACGGAGUGGUGGGGAUACUGUGCCACUUGGGGGAAAUAUAAGGCCGCCGCCUUUGACAGUGGGUCCAGUCAUGCCACGAAUUUCCACCACUCAAAUCUCAAUCCUCGCGGUACGCACGCCCCGCGAGUAAUAGAGAAGAGUAAAAAUAAGCACAACAAUCGAUCACUCAUUCAUUCAAUAAUCUAUGCGAUUUCUAACUUUGUAGAAUGAAACGGAGUGGUGGGGAUACUGUGCCACUUGGGGGAAAUAUAAGGCCGCCGCCUUUGACAGUGGGUCCAGUCAUGCCACGAAUUUCCACCACUCAAAUCUCAAUCCUCGCGGUACGCACGCCCCGCGAGUAAUAGAGAAGAGUAAAAAUAAGCACAACAAUCGAUCACUCAUUCAUUCAAUAAUCUAUGCGAUUUCUAACUUUGUAGAAUGAAACGGAGUGGUGGGGAUACUGUGCCACUUGGGGGAAAUAUAAGGCCGCCGCCUUUGACAGUGGGUCCAGUCAUGCCACGAAUUUCCACCACUCAAAUCUCAAUCCUCGCGGUACGCACGCCCCGCGAGUAAUAGAGAAGAGUAAAAAUAAGCACAACAAUCGAUCACUCAUUCAUUCAAUAAUCUAUGCGAUUUCUAACUUUGUAGAAUGAAACGGAGUGGUGGGGAUACUGUGCCACUUGGGGGAAAUAUAAGGCCGCCGCCUUUGACAGUGGGUCCAGUCAUGCCACGAAUUUCCACCACUCAAAUCUCAAUCCUCGCGGUACGCACGCCCCGCGAGUAAUAGAGAAGAGUAAAAAUAAGCACAACAAUCGAUCACUCAUUCAUUCAAUAAUCUAUGCGAUUUCUAACUUUGUAGAAUGAAACGGAGUGGUGGGGAUACUGUGCCACUUGGGGGAAAUAUAAGGCCGCCGCCUUUGACAGUGGGUCCAGUCAUGCCACGAAUUUCCACCACUCAAAUCUCAAUCCUCGCGAAUGAAACGGAGUGGUGGGGAUACUGUGCCACUUGGGGGAAAUAUAAGGCCGCCGCCUUUGACAGUGGGUCCAGUCAUGCCACGAAUUUCCACCACUCAAAUCUCAAUCCUCGCGGUACGCACGCCCCGCGAGUAAUAGAGAAGAGUAAAAAUAAGCACAACAAUCGAUCACUCAUUCAUUCAAUAAUCUAUGCGAUUUCUAACUUUGUAGAAUGAAACGGAGUGGUGGGGAUACUGUGCCACUUGGGGGAAAUAUAAGGCCGCCGCCUUUGACAGUGGGUCCAGUCAUGCCACGAAUUUCCACCACUCAAAUCUCAAUCCUCGCGGUACGCACGCCCCGCGAGUAAUAGAGAAGAGUAAAAAUAAGCACAACA